GACGAACGCUGGCGGCGUGCUUAACACAUGCAAGUCGAACGGAAAGGCCCUGCUUUUGUGGGGUGCUCGAGUGGCGAACGGGUGAGUAACACGUGAGUAACCUGCCCUUGACUUUGGGAUAACUUCAGGAAACUGGGGCUAAUACCGGAUAGGAGCUCCUGCUGCAUGGUGGGGGUUGGAAAUUUUCGGCCGUUGGGGAUGGACUCGCGGCUUAUCAGCUUGUUGGUGGGGUAGUGGCUUACCAAGGCUUUGACGGGUAGCCGGCCUGAGAGGGUGACCGGCCACCUUGGGACUGAGAUACGGAGCAGACUCCAACGGGAGGCGGCAGUGGGGAGUAUUGCACAAUGGGAGGAAGUCUGAUGCAGCAACGCCGCGUGCGGGAUGACGGCCUUCGGGUUGUAAACCGCUUUCGCCUGUGACGAAGCGUGAGUGACGGUAAUGGGUAAAGAAGCACCGGCUAACUACGUG
rnacentral:rRNA from 1 species